rnacentral:rRNA from 1 species
GACGAACGCUGGCGGCGUGCUUAACACAUGCAAGUCGAACGGAAAGGCCCUGCUUGCAGGGUACUCGAGUGGCGAACGGGUGAGUAACACUUGGGUGAUCUGCCCUGCACUUCGGGAUAAGCCUGGGAAACUGGGUCUAAUACCGGAUAGGAGCCAUUUUUAGUGUGAUGGUUGGAAAGUUUUUUCGGUGUAGGAUGAGCUCGCGGCCUAUCAGCUUGUUGGUGGGGUAAUGGCCUACCAAGGCGGCGACGGGUAGCCGGCCUGAGAGGGUGGACGGCCACAUUGGGACUGAGAUACGGCCCAGACUCCUACGGGAGGCAGCAGUGGGGAAUAUUGCACAAUGGGCGCAAGCCUGAUGCAGCGACGCCGCGUGGGGGAUGACGGCCUUCGGGUUGGAAACUCCUUUCGCUAGGGACGAAGCUUUUGUGACGGGACCUAGAUAAGAAACACCGGCUAACUACGU